GCCAGACUCCUACGGGAGGCAGCAGUGAGGAAUAUUGGUCAAUGGGCGAGAGCCUGAACCAGCCAAGUCGCGUGAGGGAAGACGGUCCUAUGGAUUGUAAACCUCUUUUGCCGGGGAGCAAAAAGCGGUACGUGUACCGCAUCGAGAGUACCCGGAGAAAAAGCAUCGGCUAACUCCGUGCCAGCAGCCGCGGUAAUACGGAGGAUGCGAGCGUUAUCCGGAUUUAUUGGGUUUAAAGGGUGCGUAGGCGGAACAUUAAGUCAGCGGUAAAAUCGAGGGGCUCAACCCCUUUAAGCCGUUGAAACUGGUGAUCUUGAGUGGGCGAGAAGUAUGCGGAAUGCGUGGUGUAGCGGUGAAAUGCAUAGAUAUCACGCAGAACUCCGAUUGCGAAGGCAGCAUACCGGCGCCCGACUGACGCUGAGGCACGAAAGCGUGGGGAUCGAACAGGAUUAGAUACCCCCGUG
rnacentral:rRNA from 1 species